rnacentral:misc_RNA from 1 species
AAGUCGUAACAAGGUUUCCGUAGGUGAACCUGCGGAAGGAUCAUUACCAAAUCCAAAAUACCCAACCCCAUGUGAAUUAUUGUUUGUUGUCCUUGGGGGGGAGUUCAAAAAAGAGCAAAAAGAAAAAAAGAAAAAAAGGAACUUGAGAUUUUAAUAAUUUCUUAUUUCUUCUAAUUUUUUUCUUCUUCUCUUUUUCCCCCCCAAAAGAAUCCGGCACCUUGGUGCUUGUGAUUCUUUGAUGAACCACAGAUUUCUAUUUAUUUUUGGAAUGACUUUUAUUAAAAUUAAUAAAGGACAACUUUUAACGGUGGAUCUCUUGGCUCGUG